AACAUAACAGAGACGAGACAAAGACACAGAGAGAGAGAGAGAGAGAGAGGCGAAGAGACGACGACGGAGGAACACGAUGGAGAGAACAACUGAGAGAGAUGGUGGAGGGAUGCGACGGCGAAGGAUAGAGGAUGGUGGAGGGACACGACGCGGCUCAACGGCAAGUUUGGUUGAUGCAAUGCAACAAUGAUAUGGGUGGAUAAUGGUGAUGAUGUGAGCUUCAGGAUGGGAGCUAACAAAUGGCAAUACUUGAUAAUAAUGCAUGGGGAUUAAAAUUCAUUUUGUAUUGUUGGGAGUUGACAUUUAGAUUUUUUUUGUUCAUUUUUUUUCUUCUUGUUUAUUUGGAGAGAAUUGACACUUGUUUCUGAUUUUUUCUAGAAAUGUUAUUGGAAUAAAAAAUCUAUUAAUAUCAAAUUUAUGUUGUGACCAAAUUUUGUGUUUGUUAAAUCAA